AACGAACGCUGGCGGCAGGCCUAACACAUGCAAGUCGAGCGCCCCGCAAGGGGAGCGGCGGACGGGUGAGUAACACGUGGGAAUUUUCCUCAAGGUACGGAACAACUCAGGGAAACUUGGGCUAAUACCGUAUGAUGCAGAGAUGCCAAAGAUUUAUCGCCUUGGGAUAAGCCCGCGUCAGAUUAGGUUGUUGGUGGGGUAAUGGCCUACCAAGCCUGUGAUCUGUAGCUGGUCUGAGAGGACGAUCAGCCACACUGGGACUGAGACACGGCCCAGACUCCUACGGGAGGCAGCAGUGGGGAAUCUUGCGCAAUGGGCGAAAGCCUGACGCAGCCAUGCCGCGUGAAUGAUGAAGGUCUUAGGAUUGUAAAGUUCUUUCGCCCGUGACGAUGAUGACGGUAACGGGAGAAGAAGCCCCGGCUAACUUCGUGCCAGCAGCAGCCGCCGUAA
rnacentral:rRNA from 1 species